AGAGUUUGAUCCUGGCUCAGGAUGAACGCUAGCGACAGGCUUAACACAUGCAAGUCGAGGGGCAGCGGGGGUAGCAAUACCCGCCGGCGACCGGCGCACGGGUGAGUAACGCGUAUGCAACUUACCUAUCAGAGGGGGAUAACCCGGCGAAAGUCGGACUAAUACCGCAUGAAGCAGGGGCCCCGCAUGGGGAUAUUUGCUAAAGAUUCAUCGCUGAUAGAUAGGCAUGCGUUCCAUUAGGCAGUUGGCGGGGUAACGGCCCACCAAACCGACGAUGGAUAGGGGUUCUGAGAGGAAGGUCCCCCACAUUGGUACUGAGACACGGACCAAACUCCUACGGGAGGCAGCAGUGAGGAAUAUUGGUCAAUGGCCGAGAGGCUGAACCAGCCAAGUCGCGUGAGGGAUGAAGGUUCUAUGGAUCGUAAACCUCUUUUAUAAGGGAAUAAAGUGCGGGACGUGUCCCGUUUUGUAUGUACCUUAUGAAUAAGGAUCGGCUAACUCCGUGCCAGCAGCCGCGGUAAUACGGAGGAUCCGAGCGUUAUCCGGAUUUAUUGGGUUUAAAGGGUGCGUAGGCGGCCUUUUAAGUCAGCGGUGAAAGUCUGUGGCUCAACCAUAGAAUUGCCGUUGAAACUGGGGGGCUUGAGUAUGUUUGAGGCAGGCGGAAUGCGUGGUGUAGCGGUGAAAUGCAUAGAUAUCACGCAGAACCCCGAUUGCGAAGGCAGCCUGCCAAGCCAUGACUGACGCUGAUGCACGAAAGCGUGGGGAUCAAACAGGAUUAGAUACCCUGGUAGUCCACGCAGUAAACGAUGAUCACUAGCUGUUUGCGAUACACUGUAAGCGGCACAGCGAAAGCGUUAAGUGAUCCACCUGGGGAGUACGCCGGCAACGGUGAAACUCAAAGGAAUUGACGGGGGCCCGCACAAGCGGAGGAACAUGUGGUUUAAUUCGAUGAUACGCGAGGAACCUUACCCGGGUUUGAACGCAUUCGGACCGAGGUGGAAACACCUUUUCUAGCAAUAGCCGUUUGCGAGGUGCUGCAUGGUUGUCGUCAGCUCGUGCCGUGAGGUGUCGGCUUAAGUGCCAUAACGAGCGCAACCCUUGCCACUAGUUACUAACAGGUAAAGCUGAGGACUCUGGUGGGACUGCCAGCGUAAGCUGCGAGGAAGGCGGGGAUGACGUCAAAUCAGCACGGCCCUUACAUCCGGGGCGACACACGUGUUACAAUGGCGUGGACAAAGGGAAGCCACCUGGCGACAGGGAGCGAAUCCCCAAACCACGUCUCAGUUCGGAUCGGAGUCUGCAACCCGACUCCGUGAAGCUGGAUUCGCUAGUAAUCGCGCAUCAGCCAUGGCGCGGUGAAUACGUUCCCGGGCCUUGUACACACCGCCCGUCAAGCCAUGGGAGCCGGGGGUACCUGAAGUCCGUAACCGCGAGGAUCGGCCUAGGGUAAAACUGGUGACUGGGGCUAAGUCGUAACAAGGUAGCCGUACCGGAAGGUGCGGCUGGAACACCU
rnacentral:rRNA from 1 species